ACUACCUCGCCGCCGCCUCUCCGCCGAGUUCAGCGUGCCAGUCCACCCCAGCGCCCGCCGCGCCACAUCUCCGACUGCCCCGCCGCUUCUCCGACGAGUGCCGGUCCGCCUCAGCACCCGCCGCGCCACCUCUCUGACUGCCCCGCCGCCUCUUCGACGACUUCAGCGAGCCGGUAUACCUCAGCGUGCAAGAUGCUGGCAUACAUGGCAUCAAGGAUUGCACUUCUCCAGUACUUUCUGUUUGUUAGUUUCCCCAGAAACCUUUACCAUCACAGACUACACCAGAUCAGAAAUGAUCAUACCACUGGAGGAGCGCAAGAAGUUAAUGGCAAGCAGGUUUGCUUCUUAUAAAGCUCUGCAUGUCGGGCUUAGGAUCACUAUUUUGGGGAACUGUAACUGGAGUUCUAUCAGACAUUGAGCCAAAGCCUUCUUGGAUCGAAUAUGUCUACAUAUAUGCUGUUAUCUGUUUCGUGCUGCUGCUGAAUGGAGCAGUUGCCUCUUCAUUUCCGGAUACUGCUCUACUUGCGCCAUUUAUGGCUGGACUGGGAUCUUGGCAGUCGCUUAUAUUGUUCUUGGGAACGUUUCACGUCGCUUCAUUGAAGUAUAAUAACUAUCUCAAUGAGUGCCUGUAUUCGAUGAUUACUUCAAGCACAUUUGUCACAGUCUACUGGGCAUUGAGUUGCCAAGACCCUCUGCUACUCAAUGUUCUUGUCAAGCUCGUUUUGUGGGUUAUUGGUCUGCUGGUUUAUGUUAUCUGCUUUAUUCUCUAUCUGAUACUGAGAGUGGUCUCCAGUGGUUUGUGCUGGCUGCUCAAAACCUCCUGGAAAUUUGUUUGGUCCAAUGAAGACUCACUGAAGAAUCGCCUCGUGGCUUGUUGCAGCGAACCAAGUGGGUAUCAGCUUCUAAACCAUCGUGUAUAGUCAUCUGCAUUACUACACUAAUAGGAUACACCAGAUGUGAUAUGACAAGUUACAACCUUACUUGAAGAUAAUUAGAUGAAAAGUUUACUGCAAGGGAUGCUUCUACCGACAACGAACUGCACUAAUAAAUAGCUGAUGUAGGAGUCAGAUUCAAUCAAGAGGAUAGAUAGAAUGAUAGAUUGAUCUUACAGCACUGUGAUAGGUUAAACAGAAGUUGUCUUCUGUUUUUUUUUUUUGAGGGAAAUUAUUUGUCUUCUGUUUCACUCAUACGGUGUCACUUCUACAUUCGAUUUAUGGGGAACCAUUGA